AGUGAACGCUGGCGGUAGGCCUAACACAUGCAAGUCGAACGGCAGCACAGUAAUAGCUUGCUCUUACGGGUGGCGAGUGGCGGACGGGUGAGGAAUACAUCGGAAUCUACUUUUUCGUGGGGGAUAACGUAGGGAAACUUACGCUAAUACCGCAUACGACCUACGGGUGAAAGCAGGGGAUCUUCGGACCUUGCGCGAUUGAAUGAGCGGAUGUCGGAUUAGCUAGUUGGCGGGGUAAAGGCCCACCAAGGCGACGAUCCGUAGCUGGUCUGAGAGGAUGAUCAGCCACACUGGAACUGAGACACGGUCCAGACUCCUACGGGAGGCAGCAGUGGGGAAUAUUGGACAAUGGGCGCAAGCCUGAUCCAGCCAUACCGCGUGGGUGAAGAAGGCCUUCGGGUUGUAAAGCCCUUUUGUUGGGAAAGAAAAGCAGCAGGUUAAUACCCCGCUGUUCUGACGGUACCCAAAGAAUAAGCACCGGCUAACUUCGUG
rnacentral:rRNA from 1 species